rnacentral:rRNA from 1 species
CGAGUCGAGAGCUUUCGGAGCUCGGCAUACUGCUCAGUAACACGCGCGUAACCUGCCCUGUGCUGGGGGAUAACCUCGGGAAACUGAGAACAAUACCCCAUAGUCCACUACGCCUGGAACGGUGAGUGGAUGAAAGCCCCGGCGGCACAGGAUGGGCCUGCGGCGUAUCAGGUAGUAGGGGGUGUAAAGUACCCUCUAGCCUUCGACGCGUACGGGUUGUGAGAGCAAUAGCCCGGAGAUGGAUUCUGAGACACGAAUCCAGGUCCUACGGGACGCAGCAGUCGCGAAACCUUGACAAUGCGGGAAACCGUGAUCAGGGGACUCCAAGUGCCAGGAGUAAGAUCCUGUGCUUUUCUUCUCUCUUCAAAGGAUUAGGAAUAAGAGGUGGGUAAGGACGGUGCCAGCCGCCGCGGUAAUACCGGCGCCUCGAGUGGUAGUCGAUUUUAUUGGGCCUAAAACGUCCGUCGCCGGUCUGGUGCAUUCGUGGGUAAAUCAACCCGCUCAACGGGUUGAAUUCUGCGAGCACGGCCAGACUAGGGACCGGGAGAGGUGUGGGGUACGCUCGGGGUAGGGGUAAAAUCCUGUCAUCCCGAGCGGACCACCUGUUGCGAAGGCGCCACACUAGAACGGAUCCGACGGUCAGGGACGAAACCUAGGGGCACGAACCGGAUUAGAUACCCGGGUAGUCCUAG